AUACCCAUUACUACAAAACAACCUUUUUACUCUUUACAAACAGCCCCCUGUUACUUCAAGACUCCCGUAUCAAUGGCACCAAGCGACGUGAAGGUUCUAGGCGCAGCGCCCAGCCCGUACGUGAACCGGGUUCAGAUUGCCCUCAACUUGAAACACGUCGACUACGAGUUUCUCCAGGAGACGUUUGGGUCCAAGAGUGAACUACUGCUGAAAUCGAACCCGGUUCAUAAGAAAAUCCCAGUUAUGAUUCAUGAGGGAAAACCCAUUUGUGAGUCACUUAUCAUUGUGCAGUACAUUGACGAGGUGUGGACCGAUGGCCCGGGUAUUCUUGCUUCGGAUUCGUAUGAUCGAGCCAUGGCCCGGUUUUGGGCUGCCUAUGUUGAUGAAAAGUGGUGGCCGACACUGAGGGGGGUUCGAAAUGCGGAGGGAGACGAGGCAAAAGCGGCAGCACUAGAGCAAGUUAUGGAAGGGAUGCUGCUGUUGGAGGAUGCUUUUGUCAAAUGUUGCAAAGGGAAGGACUUCUUUGGUGGUGACACAAUCGGGUACCUCGAUAUAGCUCUCGGGAGCUUCUUGGGGUGGUUGAAAGCAUCCGAGAAGAUGGCCAAUAUAAAGCUGCUCGAUGAAACCAGGACCCCUGGGCUGUUUGGAUGGGCCGAGAGGUUUGGUUCGAAUGCUGCUGUGAAGGAUGUCAUUCCGGAAACAGAGAAGCUUGUGGAGCUUGUCAAGAUGAUGGCUGCCAGAGCCAAAGCCCAGUAAUUCCCCAAUUCGGUUGUCACCAAGUCAAUAAAUUGGGCCGCUUAGAUUGCUCAAGUUGGUCUCUCUCUUUUUUUUGUUUAUUUUUCACUUUUUGUUUGUUGUUUGUUCGGAGUUUUGUAAUUUAAUAAACAGUCUUGUUUAGGAGUAGCAGUUUUUGGAGUUGCUUUAUACUAGCUUUUUCGUUUUGUUAUUUAGAGAGUUUGUGCCAGUGUGCUGUUUUCAUUUUUUGAUGUAACUCAUACCAAAUAGAAAUGGUUAUUUGGUAUAGAGAUGCUUUUUAAUACAUUCUGAACGGUUCAGAUUAUAUUUUA